rnacentral:rRNA from 1 species
GGCGAACGGGUGAGGAAUACAUGGGUAACCUACCCUCGAGUGGGGAAUAACUAGCCGAAAGGUUAGCUAAUACCGCGUACGCUCCUUGGACUUCGGUUCAGGGAGGAAAGCGAUACCGUGGGUAUCGCGCUCUUGGAUGGGCUCAUGUCCUAUCAGCUUGUUGGUGAGGUAACGGCUCACCAAGGCUUCGACGGGUAGCUGGUCUGAGAGGACGAUCAGCCACACUGGCACUGCGACACGGGCCAGACUCCUACGGGAGGCAGCAGUAAGGAAUAUUGCGCAAUGGGCGAAAGCCUGACGCAGCGACGCCGCGUGGGGGAUGAAGGUCUUCGGAUUGUAAACCCCUUUCGGGAGGGAAGAUGGAACGAGCAAUCGUUCGGACGGUACCUCCAGAAGCAGCCACGGCUAACUUCGUGCCAGCAGCCGCGGUAAUACGAAGGUGGCAAGCGUUGUUCGGAUUUACUGGGCGUACAGGGAGCGUAGGCGGUUCGGUAAGCCCUUUGUGAAAUCUCCAGGCUUAACCUGGAAAAGUCGGAGGGGACUGCCGGGCUAGAGGACGGGAGAGGAGCGCGGAAUUCC